rnacentral:misc_RNA from 1 species
GGGAGAGCUAUCUUAGAUUUUAACUCAAAACACCAAGUCAUCAGGCAUUAUACAACGCAGAAGUUGGUCCUGCAUCUUUGUUGGCAGCAAACAGGAGCACUAAAGAUGAACAAACAGGUAAUAAAAUCUUAGUGGACAGCAUGAAUCAUCAAAUUGAGUACACGGGGUAACUAAAUGGCAAAUAGCAAUGUCACUUCAUUCCUGCCAAUGCUUGAUUGUUUGUACCAAAGAAAAUGUAGUACAACUAAUUGUAGACCAUAUACUUUGGUGUUGCACUGAAUUUCUGAUAUCCCUUAAUGACCUUGUUAACGGCAUCCAGAAAGUCUUUCUCUGUAACAGUUUUCCUCCUUGCUCGAAUAGCAUACAUUCCAGCCUCCGUGCACACACUUCUUAUAUCAGCUCCUGUAGAGUUUGGACAGAGACGUGCCAAAAGUUCAAAUCGAAUAUCGCGCUCACAAUUCAUUGUCCGUGUAUGAAUCUUAAAUAUCUGGGUUCUACUCUCUAGAUCAGGUAGACCAAACUCAACUUUGCGAUCCAAACGUCCAGGACGUAGCAAUGCUGGAUCAAGUGUAUCAGGCCUAUUGGUGGCCAUGAGAACCUUUAUAUUCCCCCGAGCAUCAAAUCCAUCUAGUUGGUUAACAAUUUCAAGCAUGGUACGCUGAACCUCAUUGUCUCCACCUACACCAUCAUCAAAUCGUGCACCUCCAAUGGCGUCUACUUCAUCGAAAAAAACAAUGCACGCCUUCUUAGAGCGCGCCAUCUGGAACAGUUCACGAACCAUCCUAGCUCCCUCACCAACAUAUUUCUGAACAAGCUCACUGCCAAUAACACGAAUAAAGCAUGCAUCUGUUCGAUUUGCCACUGCUCUAGCAAGCAGGGUUUUCCCAGUACCAGGAGGCCCAUAGCAGAGAACACCCUUUGGGGGAUCAAUUCCAAGUUUCACAAACUUUUCAGGGUGAAGCAUGGGCAACUCAACAACCUCUCGCAUCUUUUCAAUCUGUUCCUUGCAUCCACCAACAUCAUUAUAUGUCACAUCUGGUUUCUCUUCCACUGUCAUCAUGGUCACACUUGGGUCAAUUUUUGGUGGCAAAGGAAUCUGUAUCUGAUAUUUAUUACGAUCAACACCAACACGCAUGCCUUCUUCUAUAUCAGUUGGGGAAACCUUGUCACCCAGACCAACAACAAACUUUGCAAUUUGUUUGACAUUUAUUACAUAUUUGGCGUCUUCAGUGUUUGGAUUUAUUAUCUUUGUGCACCUUGCUACCUGAAGAGGUUGCUCCUCCUGCAUCAUUUGCUUAUCAGAAACAAGGUCCCACUGGCUGGGUGCAGCCAAGCCAGUGUCGGACUCCUUUAUACCACAUAAAUCAUUGACUUUCUUAGCCAUUUCCUUAAUUUCCUUCUCCACUUUCUUAAUGCUAUUAGAAUAUGGUCCUAAACCAUAAGUUUUGAGAAGAGCGAUGUC